rnacentral:rRNA from 1 species
GACGAACGGCUGGCGGCGUGGAUUAGGCAUGCAAGUCGAACGGUAUCAUCCUUCGGGGGUGAGAGAGUGGCGAACUGGUGAGUAACACGUAGGUUAUCUACCCUCAAGACGGGGACAACCCAGGGAAACUUGGGCUAAUACCGGAUGUGAGCAACUUUUAGUUGUUUGAAAGGUGGCGUAAGCUGUCGCUUGGGGAUGAGCCUGCGUCCUAUUAGUUAGUUGGUGAGGUAACGGCUCACCUAGGCAAUGAUAGGUAGGCGGCCUUAACGGGUGGUCGCCCACACUGGGAUUGAGAUACGGCCCAGACUCCUACGGGAGGCAGCAGUCGAGAAUAGUCUACAAUGGUCGGAAGACUGAUAGUGCGACGCCGCGUGAACGAUGAAUCCCUUCGGGGUGUAAAGUUCUUUUAUAUGUGAGCAGUGCUUCUUAUAUUAACAGUAUGGGGAGAGAGAUAUUAGCAUAUGAAUAAGCAACGGCUAACUCCGUG